UGUCCUUUUAGUUUAAUUAAAAAUUUUAGAUUGUGGUUCUAGAGAUCUUCAAGAGGUUGGGCUG
rnacentral:tRNA from 1 species